UACGUAGGGUGCAAGCGUUGUCCGGAAUUAUUGGGCGUAAAGGGCUCGUAGGCGGUCCGUCACGUCGGGAGUGAAAACUUGGGGCUUAACCCCAAGCCUGCUUCCGAUACGGGCGGACUAGAGGUAGGCAGGGGAGAACGGAAUUCCUGGUGUAGCGGUGAAAUGCGCAGAUAUCAGGAGGAACACCGGUGGCGAGGGCGGUUCUCUGGGCCUUACCUGACGCUGAGGAGCGAAAGCGUGGGGAGCAAACAGG
rnacentral:rRNA from 1 species